UCACCAGACUCCUACGGGAGGCAGCAGUGGGGAAUAUUGCACAAUGGGCGCAAGCCUGAUGCAGCCAUGCCGCGUGUAUGAAGAAGGCCUUCGGGUUGUAAAGUACUUUCAGCGGGGAGGAAGGGAGUAAAGUUAAUACCUUUGCUCAUUGACGUUACCCGCAGAAGAAGCACCGGCUAACUCCGUGCCAGCAGCCGCGGUAAUACGGGGGAUGCAAGCGUUGUCCGGAAUCAUUGGGCGUAAAGAGUUCGUAGGUGGCACGUUAAGUCUGGUGUUAAAUGCAGAGGCUCAACCUCUGUUCGGCACUGGAUACUGGCGAGCUUGAAUGCGGUAGAGGUAAAGGGAAUUCCUGGUGUAGCGGUGAAAUGCGUAGAUAUCAGGAGGAACAUCGGUGGCGUAAGCGCUUUACUGGGCCGUAAUUGACACUGAGGAACGAAAGCCAGGGUAGCAAAUGGGAUUAGAUACCCCCGUAC
rnacentral:rRNA from 1 species